CCGCUGCGGGUGCCCCGGGCCAGAGGCGCGGGAGAGCCGAGCUCAGCUCCGUGCCUGCGCUGUAGAACGGCUCCCAGGUACCCGGGCCUGUGCUGAUCUAUAAUUCAGCAUGAGCUUGAUGUUCUUUUUCUGAGUGGAUCUAUCAAAUGGAUUGGUCGCUGUGAGUCUCCAGGGUGCACCCUGUACUGCCCAGUACAGGGACAUACAACAGGGAAAGCUCAGAAGUUUGCUCUCUUCAGAGGAGCGGGACAGGUAUUCUGCUGAUACCCUGGAAACCAAGAGAGCAGACCCCCAUCCACUGGCAUGCUGGAUCUUUAAAUGGCAAGGUGCUGAGCUGAAGGAGGA